rnacentral:rRNA from 1 species
GCAGUGUUUAACGGCCGCGGUAUUUUAACCGCGCGAAGGUAGCGUAAUCACUUGUCUUUUAAAUGGAGACCUGUAUGAAUGGCAUAACGAGGGUUUAACUGUCUCCUCCUCCCAGUCAAUGAAAUUGAUCUAUCCGUGCAGAAGCGGAUAUGCUAACAUAAGACGAGAAGACCCUAUGGAGCUUUAGGCGAAUGACCAAGUCAAAAAAAUCCUGAUCUAGACCAGAUCCAGAAGAAGAAAACACCAGUGGUCAAUACGCCUUCGGUUGGGGCGACCAUGGAGGAAAGAAAAGCCUCCAUGUGGAACGGGAAAACCCCUUAACUAAGAAAAACUCCUCUAAGUAUCAAAAAUUUUGACCAAAAGUGACCCAGGCCAAGCCUGAUCAACGGACCAAGUUACCCUAGGGAUAACAGCGCAAUCCUCUCCCAGAGUCCAUAUCGACGAGGGGGUUUACGACCUCGAUGUUGGAUCAGGACAUCCUAUUGGUGCAGCCGCUAUUAAGGGUUCGUUUGUUCAACGAUUAA